UGAGGAAUAUUGGGCAAUGCCCGCAAGGGUGACCCAGCAACGCCGCGUGGAGGAUGAAUGUCGUAAGAUUGUAAACUCCUGUUAGAGGGGAAGAAUAGUACCGGUUGGACCGGUAUAUGACUGUACCCUCAGAGAAAGCCCCGGCUAACUACGUGCCAGCAGCCGCGGUAAUACGUAGGGGGCAAGUGUUGUCCGGAUUUACUGGGUGUAAAGGGCGCGCAGGCGGGAUAAAAAGUCAGUGGUGAAAUCCUACAGCUUAACUGUAGAACUGCCUUUGAUACUUUUAUUCUUGAGUUCGGGAGAGAGAGACGGAAUUCCAGGUGUAGUGGUGAAAUACGUAGAUAUCUGGAAGAACACCAGUUGCGAAAGCGGUCUCUUGGUCCGACACUGAC
rnacentral:rRNA from 1 species